rnacentral:rRNA from 1 species
UUUUUUAAUUGAAAACUUGUAUGAAUGGUUGAAUGAAAAAUUAGCUGUUUCAUAAAAAUUAAAUAGAAUUUUAUUUUUUAGUUAAAAAGCUUAAAUAUAAUUUAAAGACGAGAAGACCCUAUAGAGUUUUAUAGUUUAAUAUUAUUUAUUAAUUUAUAAAAAUUUUAAUUUUUAAUAUAAAAUUAUUUUAUUGGGGUGAUAAUAAAAUUUGAUAACCUUUUAUUUAUUUUUUACAUUUAUUAAUGACUAAUUGAUCCAUUUUUAUUGAUUAUAAGAUUAAAUUACCUUAGGGAUAACAGCGUUAUUUUUUUUUAGAGUUCUUAUCGAUAAAAAAUUUU